rnacentral:rRNA from 1 species
GGGACCUGCGAUGCAUUAGCUAGUUGGUAAGGUAACGGCUUACCAAGGCGAUGAUGCAUAGCCGAGUUGAGAGACUGAUCGGGCCACAUUGGGGACUGAGACACGGGCCCAAAACUCCUACGGGGAGGCAGCAGUAGGGAAUCUUCCACAAUGGACGAAGUCUGAUGGAGCAACGCCGCGUGAGUGAAGAAGGUUUUCGGAUCGUAAAAGCUCUGUUGUUGGUGAAGAAGGAUAGAGGUAGUAACUGGCCUUUAUUUGACGGUAAUCAACCAGAAAGUCACGGCUAACUACGUGCCAGCAGCCGCGGUAAU